CAACGCCGCGUGGAGGAUGAAGCCCCUUGGGGUGUAAACUACCUUUCCGUAUCGGGAAGGAUAAUUGACGGUACCGACUAUAAGAAGCCCCGGCUAACUUCGUGC
rnacentral:rRNA from 1 species